rnacentral:tRNA from 1 species
GGCGAUGGGAGCUCGGUAGGUCGAGCAAUAGAUUGUGAAUCUAGAGGUCACGGGUUCGAGUCCCGUUCUUCGCC